rnacentral:rRNA from 1 species
GUGUCAGCCGCCGCGGUAAUACGUAUGGAGCGAGCGUUGUCCGGAAUUAUUGGGCGUAAGGGGUACGCAGGCGGUUUAAUAAGUCGAAUGUUAAAGAUCGGGGCUCAACCCCGUAAAGCAUUGGAAACUGAUAAACUUGAGUAGUGGAGAGGAAAGUGGAAUUCCUAGUGUAGUGGUGAAAUACGUAGAUAUUAGGAGGAAUACCAGUAGCGAAGGCGACUUUCUGGACACAAACUGACGCUGAGGUACGAAAGCGUGGGGAGCAAACAGGAUUAGAAACCCUCGUAGUCC